UACAGAGGGGGCAAGCGUUAUUCGGAAUUAUUGGGCGUAAAGGGCGCGUAGGCGGCUUGGCAAGUGGGAUGUGAAAUCCCGGGGCUCAACCUCGGAACUGCCUUUGAUACUGCAAAUCUCGAGUCCGGAAGAGGUGAGUGGAAUUCCUAGUGUAGAGGUGAAAUUCGUAGAUAUUAGGAAGAACACCAGUGGCGAAGGCGGCUCACUGGUCCGGUACUGACGCUGAGGUGCGAAAGCGUGGGGAGCAAACAGG
rnacentral:rRNA from 1 species